UGAAGAAUGUGUUAAGAGUACUAUGCAGACAGAUGGGUCGUCUUGUGGUUUGUGGAUGUUAAACUUCAUGGAGUACUGGACGGGAGAUAUUUUGUCCGACAUUCCUAAUCAGGAUAAUAUAACACAAUUUAGGACAAAAUUAGCUGUCAUUUUAGUUGACUCGGAA